GGGGGAAAACGAAACACCUCUUCAAAACAAAUUUGAAAGAAAAAGUCUAUAAAACCUAAAUCUAACCUAAUCUUCAAUCUCAUACCUUAGUCGCUCUCACCUCUCGCUCAUAGUCUCACGCUCAAAUGGAUAAACGACAUCGUGUAAUCGUGCAUCCUUGGCUCCUCCUUGCCUCCCUCUUCGUUCAUCACCUCCGCUAUACCUCCUCAUAUCAUCUUCGCCCUUCACUUUAGACUUUCUCCGCCUCCAAGCUUCAGAAUUUCACCAUCUGAAGUGAAGAACUUCGGCCAACACCGAAGAACUCAACAACAUUAGGCGAUUUCUUAUGAUUUCAGAAUGGCUACAAAUGAAGGUGUAAUAGAUGUGGACGAUCAAAAUGAUGAAGUUGAAGUCCCUGGAAGAAAAUAAGCCAAAGUUGAAGUCACUUGUUUGGCAACAUUUUCCAUAUAAGAAAUGUGCUAAAAAGUCAAAAUGCAAACAUUUUAAAAUGGUUUUAGCAUGUGGAACUAGAGUUAAUGGUACCUCUGAGUUAGUGAGUCAUCUAAAAAAUACUUGUGUAAGAUCCCCCUUUACAAAAAGAGAAAAAAUGAUUCAAAAAAUCAAUCAAUCUUAAACUUCAAGCCAAAGAGACAGAAGGGGGUGAGUCUUUAAUGAGAAGAUGAUGGGUUUAAAAAUUGGAAACACUAGUGGAAAUGAUGGAUUUUUGGGUAAGUUGUGGAUUUUGGCUAGUGAUGUCUAUUGUUUGAUCGAUAAUUGGAAAGUGAAAAACUGAAAAAACUUUAUAUUUGUUUUUAUUUAAUCUGUUGCAAGUUUAUGGAUUUUAGGCCAAUCUAGUGGCUAAUGUUGUAUGCUUGUUUAAACUUGUAAUUUCCUACUUUGACUUGUUGCAAUUUAUGUCAUUUAAAUGGCUAUUGGCCUACUGCAUAUGA